GACGAACGCUGGCGGCGUGCUUAACACAUGCAAGUCGAACGCUGAAGCUUGGUGCUUGCACUGGGUGGAUGAGUGGCGAACGGGUGAGUAAUACGUGAGUAACCUGCCCUUGACUCUGGGAUAAGCCUGGGAAACUGGGUCUAAUACUGGAUAUGACAUUCCACUGCAUGGUGGUGUGUGGAAAGGGUUUUACUGGUUUUGGAUGGGCUCACGGCCUAUCAGCUUGUUGGUGGGGUAAUGGCCUACCAAGGCGACGACGGGUAGCCGGCCUGAGAGGGUGACCGGCCACACUGGGACUGAGACACGGACCAGACUGCUACGGGAGGCAGCAGUGGGGGAUAUUGCACAAUGGGCGGAAGCCUGAUGCAGCGACGCCGCGUGAGGGAUGACGGCCUUCGGGUUGUAAACCUCUUUCAGCACGGAAGAAGCGAGAGUGACGGUACGUGAAGAAGAAGCGCCGGCUAACUACGUG
rnacentral:rRNA from 1 species